UGUCCUGCGGGUGGUGAGGACGCGCGGACCAUACCCGGCCGCCCGGCCCGCGUCGAACCACUGGCGAGCCCGACCCGCAGUGGA
rnacentral:ncRNA from 1 species